rnacentral:rRNA from 1 species
GACGAACGCUGGCGGCGUGCUUAACACAUGCAAGUCGAACGGAAAGGCCCUGCUUUUGUGGGGUUCUCGUGUGGCGAACGGGUGAGUAACACGUGUGUAACCUGCCCUUGACUUUGGGAUAUCUCUAGGAAACUGGGGCUAAUACCGGAUAGGAUCUCCUGCUGCAUGGUGGGGGUUGGAAAGUUUCGGCGGUUUGGGAUGGACUCGCGGCUUACCAGCUUGUUGGUGGGGUAGUGGCUUACCAAGGGUUCGAGGGGUAGCCCGCCUGGGAGGGUGAACGGCGACCAGGGGACUAAGAGAGGGACCAGACUCGAACGGGAGGCAGCAGGGGAGAAUAUUGCACAAUGGGCGGAAGCCUGUUGCGGCGACGCCCGGUGCGGAAUGACGGCCUACUGGUUAUAAACCGCUUUCGAAUGUGACGAAGAGUGAGUGACGGUAAUGGGUAAAGAAGCACCGGCUAACUACGUG